rnacentral:rRNA from 1 species
AUACGUAGGUGGCAAGCGUUGUCCGGAUUUAUUGGGCGUAAAGCGAGCGCAGGCGGUUUCUUAAGUCUGAUGUGAAAGCCCCCGGCUCAACCGGGGAGGGUCAUUGGAAACUGGGAGACUUGAGUGCAGAAGAGGAGAGUGGAAUUCCAUGUGUAGCGGUGAAAUGCGUAGAUAUAUGGAGGAACACCAGUGGCGAAGGCGACUCUCAGGUCUGUAACUGACGCUGAGGCUCGAAAGCGUGGGGAGCAAACAGGAUUAGAUACCCUGGUAGUCCACGCCGUAAACGAUGAGUGCUAAGUGUUGGAGGGUUUCCGCCCUUCAGUGCUGCAGCUAACGCAUUAAGCACUCCGCCUGGGGAGUACGACCGCAAGGUUGAAACUCAAAGGAAUUGACGGGG